AGUGAACGCUGGCGGCGUGCUUAACACAUGCAAGUCGAACGAGAACGGAAUAUAGCUUGCUAUAUUUGUCAGCUAAGUGGCGCACGGGGGAGUAAUGUAUAGAUAACCUGCCCUUAAGAAAGGAAUAACAGUUGGAAACGACUGCUAAUGCCCUAUAUGCCUUUAAUACAUAAGUAUGCAAGGGAAACGCUUAGUGCUUAAGGAUGGGUCUGUAUGGUAUCAGCUUGUCGGUGAGGUAAUGGCUCACCAAGGCUAUGACGCCUAACUGGUUUGAGAGGAUGAUCAGUCACACUGGAACUGAGACACGGUCCAGCCUCCUACGGGAGGCAGCAGUGGGGAAUAUUGCACAAUGGACGAAAGUCUGAUGCAGCAACGCCGCGUGGAGGAUGACACAUUUCGGUGCGUACACUCCUUUUAUAUAGGAAGAUAAUGACGGUACUAUAUGAAUAAGCACCGGCUAACUCCGUGCCAGCCGCCGCCGUAA
rnacentral:rRNA from 1 species